CAGUGUUUGGAGGAAGACAAGGGCAAAAGACUCCAACUGACUGGUGACCAAACACGUGGCAGCUGAGCAGCUGAGAACAUGUUCAGUGUUCUAUGCCACUAGGGACCGGCAAGUCAAAAGGAAAGGAGCGACCACCCACGCAUCAAAACAUCCACACCCUGCACCUAUCUGCCAGGCCAAGAAUGGGGUACAAGCUUCCGUUCUUUAAAAGAGGUGUGUGGGGCUAGAGAGAUGGCGCAGAGGUUUUAGUUUAGCCCCUGUGUCUCUGCUUUGGAGAUGUACUUGAGAUGGAAACAUCAAUUUAUUCGCCUCAUCCUUAGCCACAUACUUUCCAGGCUGGAUGUGGUGGUGUCUGUGACCCCAGCACGUGGACAAUGGAGGCGGGAGGAUCAAGAGUUCAGAGUCAUCUUUGGCUACCUAGGGAGUUUGAAAACAUCCUGUGCUUGGAGACCUGGUCUCAAACAAACAAGAAGACAAAAAGAUAGGAAAGAAAAGAUCGAAAUAAAGCCUGCCACUUUACUACUGGGAAGUCUGAUGUUACAGCUUAAUCAACUGCUAAGGAUUUAAUCAACAUGGCUGGAAAUGUGAUCUGUUGAUGCUGACUACGAAAACAUUUUUAUGCUUCAUCAUUUUUGUUUAAAAGUUUAAAAAUAGCACUGGUUCUUAAAAUCAUGCAGUCAUGUGUUGAUAAUUGUCACCUUUUUUAUUAACACUGUAUUAAACACGAACUGCUACAUGCUUUGCAA